GACGAACGCUGGCGGCGUGCUUAACACAUGCAAGUCGAACGGAAAGGCCCUGCUUUUGUGGGGUUCUCGAGUGGCGAACGGGUGAGUAACACGUGAGUAACCUGCCCUUGACUUUGGGAUAACUUCAGGAAACUGGGGCUAAUACCGGAUAGGAGCUCCUGCUGCAUGGUGGGGGUUGGAAAGUUUCGGCGGUUGGGGAUGUACUCGCUGCUUAUCAGCUUGUUUGUGGGGUAGUGGCUUACCAAGGCUUUGACGGGUAGCCGGCAUGAGAGGGUUACCGGCCACAUUGGGACUGAGAUACGGACCAGACUCCUACGGGAGGCAGCAGUGGGGAAUAUUGCACAAUGGGCGGAAGCCUGAUGCAGCAACGCCGCGUGCGGGAUGACGGCCUUCGGGUUGUAAACCGAUUUCGCCGGUGACGAAGCGUGAGUGACGGUAAUGGGUAAAGAAGCACCGGCUAACUACGUG
rnacentral:rRNA from 1 species